rnacentral:rRNA from 2 species
CUUGCACCUGAUUGAUUUUGGUCGCCAACGAGUGCAACCACCAGGUGAGUAACACGUAGGUAACCUGCCCAGAAGCGGGGGACAACAUUUGGAAACAGAUGCUAAUACCGCAUAACAGCGUUGUUCGCAUGAACAACGCUUAAAAGAUGGCUUCUCGCUAUCACUUCUGGAUGGACCUGCGGUGCAUUAGCUUGUUGGUGGGGUAACGGCCUACCAAGGCGAUGAUGCAUAGCCGAGUUGAGAGACUGAUCGGCCACAAUGGGACUGAGACACGGCCCAUACUCCUACGGGAGGCAGCAGUAGGGAAUCUUCCACAAUGAGCGCAACCCUGAUGGAGCAACACCGCGUGAGUGAAGAAGGGUUUCGGCUCGUAAAGCUCUGUUGUUAAAGAAGAACACGUAUGAGAGUAACUGUUCAUACGUUGACGGUAUUUAACCAGAAAGUCACGGCUAACUACGUGCCAGCAGCCGCGGUAAUACGUAGGUGGCAAGCGUUAUCCGGAUUUAUUGGGCGUAAAGAGAGUGCAGGCGGUUUUCUAAGUCUGAUGUGAAAGCCUUCGGCUUAACCGGAGAAGUGCAUCGGAAACUGGAUAACUUGAGUGCAGAAGAGGGUAGUGGAACUCCAUGUGUAGCGGUGGAAUGCGUAGAUAUAUGGAAGAACACCAGUGGCGAAGGCGGCUACCUGGUCUGCAACU